rnacentral:rRNA from 1 species
AUUGAACGCUGGCGGCAUGCCUUACACAUGCAAGUCGAACGGCAGCACGGGUGCUUGCACCUGGUGGCGAGUGGCGAACGGGUGAGUAAUAUAUCGGAACGUACCUUAUUGUGGGGGAUAACGCAGCGAAAGCUGUGCUAAUACCGCAUAAUCCCUAAGGGGGAAAGCGGGGGACCGUAAGGCCUCGCGCAAUUAGAGCGGCCGAUACCUGAUUAGCUAGUUGGUGAGGUAAAGGCUCACCAAGGCAACGAUCAGUAGCUGGUCUGAGAGGACGAUCAGCCCCACUGGGACUAAGACACGGCCCAGACUCCUACGGGAGGCAGCAGUGGGGAAUUUUGGACAAUGGGGGCAACCCUGAUCCAGCAAUGCCGCGUGAGUGAAGAAGGCCUUCGGGUUGUAAAGCUCUUUUGUCAGGGAAGAAACAGCAGCUCUAACACAGUAUGCGAAUGACGGUACCUGAAGAAUAAGCACCGGCUAACUACGUGCCAGCAGCCGCCGUAA